GACGAACGCUGGCGGCGUGCUUAACACAUGCGAGUCGAACGGAAAGGCCUCUUUCGGGGGGUACUCGAGUGGCGAACGGGUGAGUAACACGUGAGUAACCUGCCCUUGACUUUGGGAUAACUUCAGGAAACUGGGGCUAAUACCGGAUAGGAGCUCCUGCUGCAUGGUGGGGGUUGGAAAGUUUCGGCGGUUGGGGAUGGACUCGCGGCUUAUCAGCUUGUUGGUGGGGUAGUGGCUUACCAAGGCUUUGACGGGUAGCCGGCCUGAGAGGGUGACCGGCCACAUUGGGACUGAGAUACGGCCCAGGCUCCUACGGGAGGCAGCAGUGGGGAAUAUUGCACAAUGGGUGGAAGCCUGAUGCAGCAACGCCGUGUGCGGGAUGACGGCCUUCGGGUUGUAAACCGCUUUCGCUCAUGACGAAGCUUUGUGUGACGGUAGUGGGUAAAGAAGCACCGGCUAACUACGUG
rnacentral:rRNA from 1 species